AUUGAACGCUGGCGGCAGGCUUAACACAUGCAAGUCGAGCGGUAGCACAGGGGAGCUUGCUCCCUGGGUGACGAGCGGCGGACGGGUGAGUAAUGUCUGGGAAACUGCCUGAUGGAGGGGGAUAACUACUGGAAACGGUAGCUAAUACCGCAUAACGUCGCAAGACCAAAGAGGGGGACCUUCGGGCCUCUUGCCAUCAGAUGUGCCCAGAUGGGAUUAGCUAGUAGGUGGGGUAAUGGCUCACUUAGGCGACGAUCCCUAGCUGGUCUGAGAGGAUGACCAGCCACACUGGAACUGAGACACGGUCCAGACUCCUACGGGAGGCAGCAGUGGGGAAUAUUGCACAAUGGGCGCAAGCCUGAUGCAGCCAUGCCGCGUGUGUGAAGAAGGCCUUCGGGUUGUAAAGCACUUUCAGCGAGGAGGAAGGUGGUGAACUUAAUACGCUCAUCAAUUGACGUUACUCGCAGAAGAAGCACCGGCUAACUCCGUGCCAGCCGCCGCCGUAA
rnacentral:rRNA from 1 species